AUUGAACGCUGGCGGAAUGCUUUACACAUGCAAGUCGAGCGGCAGCGCGGCCUUCGGGCUGGCGGCGAGCGGCGAACGGGUGAGUAAUGCAUCGGAACAUGCCCAGUCGUGGGGGAUAACACUUCGAAAGAAGUGCUAAUACCGCAUACGUCCUGAGGGGGAAAGCGGGGGAUCGCAAGACCUCGCGCGAUUGGAGUGGCCGAUGUCAGAUUAGCUCGUUGGUGGGGUAAAGGCCUACCAAGGCGACGAUCUGUAGCUGAUCUGAGAGGAUGAUCAGCCACACUGGAACGGAGACACGGCCCAGACCCCUGCGGGAGGCAGCAGUGGGGAAUUUUGGACAAUGGGGGAAACCCUGACCCAGCCACCCCGAGUGAGUGAAGAAGGCCUUCGGUUGGAAAAGCUCUUUCGUGAGGGAAGAACAGGUGUGUACUAAAAUAGUCCCUUAUUGACGGUACCUAAUAAAGAAGCCCCGGCUAACUACGUG
rnacentral:rRNA from 1 species